UUUUUUCCACCGGAAAACGACAUAAAUCAUAGCAGAUUUUUUCCUUUGAUAACUUAAUGCUGCAGAUGUGAAGUGUUUGGGGAUGAAUAGGAUUCAGUGUUUGUUAAUGAGAGUUUAAUGUCUUCAUCUUCUGCAUUAAACUCCAGUUAAUUAAUAUUCAUUCAAUUAGAAAAUGUAAAAAUAAAUUAUACAAAAUUAAGCUUUACACAGGAAGCAAGUGACCUCAUUUCUGCUGUUUUCAGGUGAUAAUUACGUUAGCCUCUUUCCUAUAAAGAGGGAGGCACCAAGCCCUAUUAGCCCCUAAAGGGAAGACCUGUGGCUGUCUGUAGGCCCCCCCGCCACGUAGGAGCAUCUGUUUCCAGCCUACCCUGAGCUCGUGGAGACCAAAAACUGUAGCCAGGCAUUCUGAUCUGGUGUAUUUAUGGAGGUGUUUGUCAAUUCAAGCCAG
rnacentral:lncRNA from 1 species